UUCACCAUCAUCGGCACACGUCAUGGCUGUUUAUUCUAUUAUAUAACCCUCACCCCCACUGCCAUUACCACCAUUAAUCAAUAAAAAAAUACUUAUGCAUGUAGCAAAAACAUUGUAUACCUAGACACAUACAGCGUGGACUAACACAGUGCCUUUGAUUUUUCUUUUUCUGUUUUCUUAUUUGCACCUCAAAUCACAUCAGAACAAUGAAAGAUACAAGGGUGGGAGCACCAGACCGAUAGGAGAAAGGAGAGGGAAGGAGGCGCGCCGGAGGAGAAGGUGUAAGAGAGGGUGGUUGGAUCGCGUUUAAGUGACGAUUAGAGUGGUGAUGCUGGCGGUGAUUCUUUAAAAAAAAAGAAGAUAGAACAGAGGAUGGGAAAGCUGGACAGAUAAAAGAAAACAAAGAGAGGGGACACAUUGGGGAAGAAGGCGUUGCAGGGAAAGUGGGUUGGGUCUCGCGUCAGUGGCGACUGAGAUGGUUGUGCUGGGGGUGAUUCUUCUACGAUGGAGCGGCGAGGUUAAAAGAAGGCAGACCAAGGACGAUUUGGUGAAUAUUAUGCACCAAUUUACUGAGACCACUGUGUUGUUAAGGCUAUAUCAGAAUGGCUUGGGUGGCGUUACGCCUGAGGGGAUGGCAAUGACAUAGAGGCUUGGCAACGAAAGCAUGGUCUUUUUUUUUUAUCUUUUUUAUUUAUUUAUUAAUGUUAGUGUUCGGUCAGUUUACGUUCAUUUCGACUAAUCUCACAGGCCCUGAAGUUAACGACCAUGUAAGUUUUCAGUGGUCCUGAAGUUCGUGGGACUCGAACUGGUGAUCUCUAAAGAGCAAAUUCAGUGUCGGAUCAAUUAAGCUAUACUUAUCAGAAUUGAAAGCAUGGUUUUUUUGGAUAGUGGUAGUUGUGGCUACCUUGAAGUCUUUUUGGAUAACGGUGGUUGUGGUUGCCUUUUCAAGGAUUUUGAUUGAUCGGCUCUGUUCUCUGAGUCAUUGCUAGGGGUGAUCAUUUUUUAUUUAGUUUGGUUUUUAUCAAAAAAAUAACCAAACAGGUUUUUUUAAAACCGAAACAUGUUCAAACCGACCGGUUUUGGUUCGGUUUGGUUUUUUAGAACGAAAACCUGUUCUAACCGACAAAACCUGUUCUAACAUAUCAAUUCCGGUUUGACUCGGUUUUUUUUAUUUGACUCGGGUUUUUUUAUUUGGCUUAGUUUUUUUCGGUUUAGCUCGGUUUUUUUCAAUUUGGCCCGGGGUGUUUUCGGUUUGGGUUUAGUUUGGUUUUUUUGGUUUCAUACUUGUAAAACCAAAACUGAAUUGGUUGAUUUUUUAAAAAUUCUAAUUAGUUUUUUUUCAUGAUUCGGUUUUUUCGGUUAUUUUUUUCUGGUUUAAUUGGUUUUUCAAUUUGUUUUUGCUCACCCCUGAUCAUUGCAAAUGUUUUUGCCAUGCUUAAUAUAUUAAACAAAGCUAGAAUUCAUACCCAUUUAUUAUUGAAGAUUUGGAACUUUGUUUUAUUUAACUUCUUUAAUAACUGCAUUUGUCUAUAUAUUAUGCACUCCAUAAAAAGAUGCAGGUCUUUAUAAUUUUGUGCUGCAUGCUUUUCGUACUACCUUCCUGAUGGUAAGCGAUUUAUAGUGAGAUCAAUAUAAUUUUGUUUAGACUUGCCUUCGCAUUC